UUCUUUUAAAAGAUGGCUCUGCUAUCACUUCUGGAUGGACCCGCGGCGUAUUAGCUAGUUGGUGAGGUAAAGGCUCACCAAGGCAGUGAUACGUAGCCGACCUGAGAGGGUAAUCGGCCACAUUGGGACUGAGACACGGCCCAGACUCCUACGGGAGGCAGCAGUAGGGAAUCUUCCACAAUGGACGCAAGUCUGAUGGAGCAACGCCGCGUGAGUGAAGAAGGGUUUCGGCUCGUAAAGCUCUGUUGUUAAAGAAGAACGUGGGUAAGAGUAACUGUUUACCCAGUGACGGUAUUUAACCAGAAAGCCACGGCUAACUACGUGCCAGCAGCCGCGGUAAUACGUAGGUGGCAAGCGUUAUCCGGAUUUAUUGGGCGUAAAGCGAGCGCAGGCGGUCUUUUAAGUCUAAUGUGAAAGCCUUCGGCUCAACCGAAGAAGUGCAUUGGAAACUGGGAGACUUGAGUGCAGAAGAGGACAGUGGAACUCCAUGUGUAGCGGUGAAAUGCGUAGAUAUAUGGAAGAACACCAGUGGCGAAGGCGGCUGUCUGGUCUGCAACUGACGCUGAGGCUCGAAAGCAUGGGUAGCGAACAGGAUUAGAUACCCUGGUAGUCCAUGCCGUAAACGAUGAUUACUAAGUGUUGGAGGGUUUCCGCCCUUCAGUGCUGCAGCUAACGCAUUAAGUAAUCCGCCUGGGGAGUACGACCGCAAGGUUGAAACUCAAAAGAAUUGACGGGGGCCCGCACAAGCGGUGGAGCAUGUGGUUUAAUUCGAAGCUACGCGAAGAACCUUACCAGGUCUUGACAUCUUCUGACAGUCUAAGAGAUUAGAGGUUCCCUUCGGGGACAGAAUGACAGGUGGUGCAUGGUUGUCGUCAGCUCGUGUCGUGAGAUGUUGGGUUAAGUCCCGCAACGAGCGCAACCCUUAUUACUAGUUGCCAGCAUUAAGUUGGGCACUCUAGUGAGACUGCCGGUGACAAACCGGAGGAAGGUGGGGACGACGUCAAAUCAUCAUGCCCCUUAUGACCUGGGCUACACACGUGCUACAAUGGAUGGUACAACGAGUCGCGAGACCGCGAGGUUAAGCUAAUCUCUUAAAACCAUUCUCAGUUCGGACUGUAGGCUGCAACUCGCCUACACGAAGUCGGAAUCGCUAGUAAUCGCGGAUCAGCAUGCCGCGGUGAAUACGUUCCCGGGCCUUGUACACACCGCCCGUCACACCAUGAGAGUUUGUAACACCCAAAGCCGGUGGGGUAACCUUUUAGGAGCUAGCCGUCUAAGGUGGGACAGAUGAUUAGGGUGAAGUCGUAACAAGGUAGCCGUAGGAGAACCUGCGGCUG
rnacentral:rRNA from 1 species